rnacentral:snRNA from 1 species
AGGUGUUACAGCUCUUUUACUAGUUAGCAAGUAGGCUUUUACUCUGACAGAAUCAUAA